rnacentral:rRNA from 1 species
ACUUAAAUUGAAGAGUUUGAUCAUGGCUCAGAUUGAACGCUGGCGGCAGGCCUAACACAUGCAAGUCGAGCGGUAGCACAGAGAGCUUGCUCUCGGGUGACGAGCGGCGGACGGGUGAGUAAUGUCUGGGAAACUGCCUGAUGGAGGGGGAUAACUACUGGAAACGGUAGCUAAUACCGCAUAAUGUCGCAAGACCAAAGUGGGGGACCUUCGGGCCUCAUGCCAUCAGAUGUGCCCAGAUGGGAUUAGCUAGUAGGUGGGGUAACGGCUCACCUAGGCGACGAUCCCUAGCUGGUCUGAGAGGAUGACCAGCCACACUGGAACUGAGACACGGUCCAGACUCCUACGGGAGGCAGCAGUGGGGAAUAUUGCACAAUGGGCGCAAGCCUGAUGCAGCCAUGCCGCGUGUGUGAAGAAGGCCUUCGGGUUGUAAAGCACUUUCAGCGGGGAGGAAGGCGUUAAGGUUAAUAACCUUGGCGAUUGACGUUACCCGCAGAAGAAGCACCGGCUAACUCCGUGCCAGCAGCCGCGGUAAUACGGAGGGUGCAAGCGUUAAUCGGAAUUACUGGGCGUAAAGCGCACGCAGGCGGUCUGUCAAGUCGGAUGUGAAAUCCCCGGGCUCAACCUGGGAACUGCAUUCGAAACUGGCAGGCUAGAGUCUUGUAGAGGGGGGUAGAAUUCCAGGUGUAGCGGUGAAAUGCGUAGAGAUCUGGAGGAAUAACGGUGGCGAAGGCGGCCCCCUGGACAAAGACUGACGCUCAGGUGCGAAAGCGUGGGGAGCAAACAGGAUUAGAUACCCUGGUAGUCCACGCCGUAAACGAUGUCGAUUUGGAGGUUGUGCCCUUGAGGCGUGGCUUCCGGAGCUAACGCGUUAAAUCGACCGCCUGGGGAGUACGGCCGCAAGGUUAAAACUCAAAUGAAUUGACGGGGGCCCGCACAAGCGGUGGAGCAUGUGGUUUAAUUCGAUGCAACGCGAAGAACCUUACCUGGUCUUGACAUCCACAGAACUUUCCAGAGAUGGAUUGGUGCCUUCGGGAACUGUGAGACAGGUGCUGCAUGGCUGUCGUCAGCUCGUGUUGUGAAAUGUUGGGUUAAGUCCCGCAACGAGCGCAACCCUUAUCCUUUGUUGCCAGCGGUUAGGCCGGGAACUCAAAGGAGACUGCCAGUGAUAAACUGGAGGAAGGUGGGGAUGACGUCAAGUCAUCAUGGCCCUUACGACCAGGGCUACACACGUGCUACAAUGGCAUAUACAAAGAGAAGCGACCUCGCGAGAGCAAGCGGACCUCAUAAAGUAUGUCGUAGUCCGGAUUGGAGUCUGCAACUCGACUCCAUGAAGUCGGAAUCGCUAGUAAUCGUAGAUCAGAAUGCUACGGUGAAUACGUUCCCGGGCCUUGUACACACCGCCCGUCACACCAUGGGAGUGGGUUGCAAAAGAAGUAGGUAGCUUAACCUUCGGGAGGGCGCUUACCACUUUGUGAUUCAUGACUGGGGUGAAGUCGUAACAAGGUAACCGUAGGGGAACCUGCGGUUGGAUCACCUCCUUACCUUAAAGAA